rnacentral:lncRNA from 1 species
CCUAAGCAAGGUCUUCCUGGAGGACUGCUGCCACGCAGACAUGACCGCCUGCAGGAAUAGUCUCCGGAUUCCUGCUAUCCUCUGUGCUUCUCCUGCCUCCACCAUUUCUGCCAUCACAGGUGCCUUCUCCUUCCUUUACACUCCUUCCUCCACAGCCAAAUUUAGGAGCCAAGUUCCCUACUGCCAAUAAGCAAGGAGACAACGGCAUCAUGAGCAGAGAGGGGUCUCUACCCAGAACAAAGCCAUAGGGCACAGGCUAAGUCUACCACCAGCAUCCAGAAGGUUGGUUUCCGACUCUCCCAUUUGCCUUUGUGUGAUGGCCCCAGUCAUUCAGCUCUCGAGUCACCCACAGGCCUCUCUACUUUCCCCCUGAGGUGGUUUAAAUGAGAAUGGCCCUCAUAGGCUUAUGUAUUUGAAUGCUUGGUCCGCAGUUGGUGGACUGUUUAGGAAGGAUUAGGAGGCGUGGCCUCAUUGGAGGAGGUGUGUCCAUGGGUCUCUCUCUCUGUCUCUCUAUCUCUCUCUGUCUCUGUCUCUCUCUCUCCAACUUGUGAGUCAGAUGCAAGCUCACAGCUACUGCUUCAGUGUAUGCCUGACUGCUCACUGUAGGCAUAAUUGUCCCUCACCACCACCACCACCCCGCCCCAUGAUGGCCAUUGUACUGGCUGGUUUUGUGUGCCAACUUGACACAAGCUGGAGUUAUCACAGAGAAAGGAGCCUCCCUUGAGGAAAUGCCUCCAUGAGAUCCAGCUGUAAGGUAUUUUUCUCAAUUAGUGAUCAAUGGUGGGAGGGCCCACUGUGGGCGGGGCAAUCCCUGGGCUGGUAGUCCUGGGUUCUAUAAGAAAGCAAGCUGAGAAAGCCAGGGGAAGCAAGCCAGUAAGCAGCAUCCCUCCAUGGCCUCUGCAUCAGCUCCUGCUUCCUGACCUCCCUUGGUGAUGAACAGCAAUGAGGAAGUGUAAGCUGAAUAAACCCUUUCCUCCCCAACUUGCUUCUUGGUCAUGAUGUCUGUGCAGUUAGAAGCCCUAACUAAGAGAGUCAUGGACUUUGAAGCUACAAGCAAACCUUCAAUUAAAUGCUUCCAUUUGCAAGUGUCCCUGUUCACGGUGUCUCUUCCCAGCAACAGAAAAGUAGCUAAGAUACUCACCAUGGCCGAACCCUGUCUUAUAGAAGACCUCCCUCCUCAGAGAGCUCUGGUCACCACAGACACUUAAUCAGCACAAUUGUCUACUCAUUUACCUCCCCCCUCUGCCAUGACACACAAUGAAGACAGUACCCGGGAUGCAAUGUGUCCCCACCAGAAAGAAGCUUUGUCCAUCUCCAGGCCAGUAGAGAAAAUAGGUCAGGUGACAUCUCUCAUCCUUUCCAACCUAUUCCUAAGGCUAAAAUGGUGCUUGCUCUUGUUGACCAUACAGAGCCCCAGCCAGUGCUCUUCUUCCGCUUCUGUCCUCUCCUGUGCCACCUGCUUCUCAGCUGCCCCCUCACCCCACCAAUUCAUCCUUUCAACAAGCUGUGUGACCACUGAGCACAAGGUCCCAGCACUCUCACAUACAGGGGUGUCAUGGGUGGCUUGAGCCCAGCCAGGCCUUGAUACAGCUCUGCUGGGGGGCAGAGGGUCUGGCAUAUUUUGCUGUUCUGGGAGGAAGAGAAGGGUGUAACUAUCCCAGACUGUUCUGUAGACCCAGUCUGGUUAGCCCAGGCUUUGUCCAUGAACCUUCCCUGGGAGCCUGGAUCAGGUGACUUCAGAAAGUUGAGACAAUUCAUGGGCCUGAGGUACACUAAAAGGUCCCCCAGGAGGCUGCCAGGCCUGGUUUCUCGACACAUACAGUCUACCUGGCUCUUCUACCAGGCUUUGCACGGCACUGCACCCCCUAAGGAAUUGUGUAGCUCUAAGACAUCUCAGAGAGACUGGAUGUAUGUCAGCUACAGUCAGUCACUGGGAGGCCACAGCGUAUACCAGAGUGGGGAUGGAUCCUUUGCAGGAAGCCUUUGGAAACAUCUUCCAAGAGAAAAACCAGAAGUGGGCUGUGUGUGGAAAACAAAGAUUGAAGCCAAUCUUGCCUUGAAACCCUUCAACACACCAGGCAAUGUGAGCCAUGUCUACACAGGAGUCUUCCCAGCCUGAAGUUUAUUUAACUGUCCUUCUCGGGGGUGGGGUGGGGGAUCUUUCCAUCAGAAAGGUGAUUUCUAAACCAAAUAUGCUUUCAAAAAUGCCUUCGCUCCUGGAGGGACGUACAGACUCAGAGACCCCACAGCGGGCUCGGCAAAUAUUGUUUUUCAUCUGCCGGCAGACUCUCUCAUAAGAUCAUUGGGCAGGAGGUCAACCUCUACCAACAAGCCAACACACGCACUGGGCACUAAACUCCGACUUCCAUCUACAGACAUCAGGAGCCCGUCAGUACCCUUCUCCGGAUGCAUGCCUGCUAGGCACUAAAGACUGGAAAUGUGUCGAUCCGCGUGGCCAGAAAACCUCUCGCUGUUUCCCAGGUUUGGUUAGAAGCUCUUUUGUCUGGUGCUGAGGGAACGUCACCCUCAAGCAUGCUAGGCAGGCAAAGCGUGGGAACCUAAGUUAGGUGAAGGUUGAGCCAUCAGUGACCGUGCAUGUUGGCACGUGAUUAGGGAAUCAAAAGCAGCUGCCCAACAUGAAGGAAGCAUGCUGGCAUUAGCCCUGUAUCAUGACUUUACUCACCGAAGCCACUGUGAAGGCUUCAUAUAGCCACUGUGAACUAGGGUGCUCCUACAGGAGAGGCAGGGUGGAUUCUAGGCGCCUCCGGUCACAACACAUUUGUCAUUCACCAGCACCAUCGCCAUCGCUUGCUACCCGUGACCAGCUUUCACCUUGCAAGUUCAGUCCGGCACACGUAAGCCACGUCACACUACUGUGUGAAUCCAUCACCAGCAGCCAUCCCCAGAACUCUACCUAGCACCCUGAAGUGAAACCCUGUGGUCACUGAACAAUCAAAUCACAUUUCCCUCCCGGCCCUCCAUUCUAGUGUCUAACUCUAUGGCUAGGGACCGAAUUUGUGUAGAAUCACACAGCAUUUGUGGUUUGGGGAUUGGCGUAAUGUCCUCAAGGUUCAUCCACGUUGUAGAGUGUGUCAGGGUUUCCUCCCUUUUAAAGGCAGAGUAAUAUUCCAUUGUGUGGGCAGACCACGCUGUGCUCAUUCACUCAGCUGGGCCUUGAUACUUGAGUCAUGGGUAAUGUUGCUAGGAUGUCACAGAUGAUGUUGCUAUGAUUUUGGGUGUGCAGACAUCUUCCUGACAGCCUUCUCACACUUCUGCAUGGGCACCCAGUCAUGGACUGCUGGCACAGUACUCUGUCCUUCCCUCAGGAAACAGGCAUCUAUGCAGAGCUGUAUCCUUAAGCUAGGCUGCCCAGCUCUUGGAGGAGUUAAUAUGUUCAUGAGAUGUCUGGGGUGCUGGGAAGUCCUUGAAUGUCCACUUACCUAUUGAAGGCCUAAGCUCAUUUUUUAAUGGUCACUAAUGGCUUUUUUAUUCAUGUCUAACAUGUUCCAUUAAAAAUUACUUUAUUUGUUUGAAGUGGAAAUAAAGGACAAUUAAUU